AUUGAACGCUGGCGGCAGGCCUAACACAUGCAAGUCGAACGGUAGCACAGAGAGCUUGCUCUUGGGUGACGAGUGGCGGACGGGUGAGUAAUGUCUGGGAAACUGCCCGAUGGAGGGGGAUAACUACUGGAAACGGUAGCUAAUACCGAAUAACGUCUUCGGACCAAAGUGGGGGACCUUCGGGCCUCACACAAUCGGCUGUGCCCAGAUGGGAUUAGCUAGUAGGUGGGGUAAUGGCUCACCUAGGCGACGAUCCCUAGCUGGUCUGAGAGGAUGACCAGCCACACUGGAACUGAGACACGGUCCAGACUCCUACGGGAGGCAGCAGUGGGGAAUAUUGCACAAUGGGCGCAAGCCUGAUGCAGCCAUGCCGCGUGUAUGAAGAAGGCCUUCGGGUUGUAAAGUACUUUCAGCGGGGAGGAAGGCGAUGGAGUUAAUAGCUUCAUCGAUUGACGUUACCCGCAGAAGAAGCACCGGCUAACUCCGUGCCAGCCGCCGCAGUAA
rnacentral:rRNA from 1 species